rfam:Angiostrongylus cantonensis strain Taiwan genome assembly, scaffold: ACAC_contig0012171
GCCUGCGUGGCCUAAUGGAUAAGGCGUCUGACUUCUAAUCAGAAGAUUCCCGGUUCGACCCCGGCCGUGGGCU